rnacentral:lncRNA from 1 species
GCCGGGUGUGCUGGCUCGCGGCGCUGAGUGGGCCGUUUCCAGCGCGUCUGAGGAGAUUGGUUGCUGAGCGCCUCUGAGGGAGCUUUUCCUUUUCUGAGGCCGUCCGAUGUUGGAGGCUGGGGAGCAGCGUUGUGUUCUUGAGGGGAUGGCGGGCUGAAUGCAGAGUUACACUUGCCCCGGCAUGUUCAGUCUCUCAGGUCCCACGGCACAACCACUACUGGCCGUCUGGGCCUAGAGGAGGGGUGAGGAUGGAGUCAACAGGGCGGUUCUCCAGGCUGUGUGAGAGGAGGACCCUUCAGUGGAAAAGACUGCCAAGGAGAGUGCUGUGUGAUAGAGACGUUAUACAAACGCACAGACGUGUCCUUGUAGAUUGUAGUCAGUGCCGUGAAAAUGUGUCAGUUCAGAUCCUGCAUGAGGCUGAUGGUGAAGUGGAGUUAGGAGUACAAGAAAUUUACUGGGGGGCGCCUCUCCAGCUUUCCCAGCACCAUUUAUUGAAGUCAAAGGCUUAUCAGAUCCUGACAGCAAUGCAGUUGGAGGCUGUCGGCUAACUGCACUCCUCAUGCAGCAAGGAUGCUCUCUCAUGGAAGGAGAUCAGAACUUCACACGCCAUGGCUGCCACAGAAGGAAAAUUAAAAGAUUAUAGAAGGAGUUCAUUUUCAGUUUUUUUUUUUGUUGCAACCCACAGUAAGAGAUAUGUUUUACAUUGUAGCCUAAUAAAUGUGAAAAUUCGUGUAACUAAAGCAAGAGUUUUUAAAACAUUACUUACACUUACUCUGUGCACUGCGUACUGAUAUUUUCCUCUUGUAUUUCUUGUGGUCUUUUUUAAAGAUUGGAACCUGAGCUAACAUCUGUUGCUAAUCUUCUUUUUUCUUUUUCUUCUCCCCAAAGCCCCUCAGUACGUAGUUGUAUAUUCUAGUUGUAGGUCCUUCUUGCUCUGCUAUGUGGAACGCCACCUCAGCAUGGCUUGAUGAGCAGUGCUGGUCCACACCCAGGAUCUGAACUGCUGAAACCCUGGGCCACUAAAGCGGAGCACACGAACUUAACCACUCGGACAUGGGGCUGGCCCUGUCCUGUUUUUUUAAAAUGCUUGUGUAUAACUGUGAGACAAUGUGAAUAUUUUUAUGUUUCUGCAUGAUUAGGGCUUUUUCUUCUUUUUUUAAAAAAAUUAAGAUGAAAUUCAUGUAACUUAAAAUUAACCAUUUUAAAAUGUACAAUCCAGUGGCAUUUAGUACAUUCACAAUGUUGUGCAGCCACCACUUGCAAAAAAUUUUCAUCACCCCAAAAGGAAACCCCAUACCCAUUAAACAGUCAUUCCCUAUUUUCCCCACAUCGUAGUCCUUGGCAACCACCAAUUUGCUCUCUGUCUCUAUGAAUUUACCUAUUCUGGAUAUUUCAAAUAAAUGCAAUCAUACGAUAUGUG